GCAAGCAUGACAACCCGGCACUUGGGGGCUACAUAUGUGGAAUACUCAGUUUUGACUAGUGAUUGAGAUGAACAUCAUGGAUUUCUUCAAAGUGGUAAUAUUUAUAUUGAAGCAAGUCUUAAGUCAUCACUUUGCUCUGCUCAAGACUUGGGGGCUACAGGUAAUAUGGAUAUGAGGGAGAGAAAUCUUCAAAAUUCUCAGUUUUGACCCGGUGUCUGCAACAAUUAUAACUCAGCAUUAUCUAUUUAUAACCCGACAAGUUUUUCAUCUUUAAGCCGGUUGAAGGUCACAUGAGUAUUUCAAAGACCAAUAUUUUUAAGCAUUGGGAGCUGAGUCAAAUAAAUUAUUCUUCACUGUCUUUCUUUGUGAGAAACCAAUGUCAGCAAAUUGAUUAUGAAGUUGGCUUAUUGACCCGGAUUCUCUGGAAGAAGGAAAUACCAAGGAAUUAAGGAUGAUCAGGUGCCGGCUUACAAGAGCUUUUAACCCGGAGCAUAGUCUGUCAAAAUUGUUCUUGUGUUUGUUUUACGGGAUCAGUUUAACAUGGAUGAAUCCAAAUUAAACUAGGGGCUAAUGUCGGGGAUAUACCCCGCAGUAUGACCCGGCCGGAGAUAUGACCCGGCUAGGACUUGAUGUUUCAUUGGUGACCCGGCAGACUAUAAGCCAGCGGGAAUAGUUAAGCAUUGUAAGCUGGCAGACACAUUCAUGUAACCCGGCAGACAUAGUCAUGUAACUCGGCACACACAGUCACGUAACCCGGCAGACACAGUCAUGUAACCCGGCAGGCACAGUCAUAUGAGCCAGAUAGUUAAGCAGACAGUUAAGCCAGACAGUUAAGCCGGACAGUUAAGCCAGGUGGUUAAGCCGAAUUGUAGGUCAACAGUUAAGAAGUCUGAAACGUUAAAGAAAGCCCAUGGAGAGAAAACAUAAUAGUUAAGUCUUAAGUCCGAGUUGGACUCUACAUGUAACCCGCCCCUUCAACAUAUAUAAGGAGGGACAGGACACCCCAAGAGGGACAAGUUGAAUAAUCAUUAAGUCUAGACACAACUAGAAGAGCCGGAGUUACGGCGACUCCGUCAUGAUGAUAAUGAGACCUAGCCACAAACAACAUAUAGGGUUGUUACCGGAUGAUGUUUCUCGGGACCCGAAGCUGUCUAAAUCUUCGUCUUGCGUGUUGUGUCUUUCGAUUCCGAUCAACCCCUUCAAGCUACCGCAUAGAUGCGUUGGCCUCACGACUAAGUCCUCACACUAGGACAUUUGCCAUGACGUUUCCACAACAGUUACGUAACUGUGUUAUGUAAGGUUUCGUAGGUGUAGGAUUUCUGGCGAAAAUAAAAGGAGUGGCUGAGAAUCUCCCAUCAAGAGAUAAGGUAUGUGCAGGGUGAAAAGCGGUGAGUGUGCCAACAUGUCCAUAUCUGUGAAGCAAACAGGGGACGAUGGAUUCAGUUUCAUCCCACGGCGCGCACCAGAGAGGCCGAAUCUUCAGCUGGUCGAUCGGCAAGGAACAUUUUCCAAAUAUUUAUCAUAAAAAAUUAAAAUGAUGUGAAGGUACAUUCAAUAAUGAAUCUAAUGGUAUUGAUUUGUUAUUGUAUAUGUUAAUAUUUUUAUUUAUAAAUUUUAUCAAAGUUUACAAAGCUUGAUGUGAUCAAAGCUAACACGCGGACUAAAUAAAAACAGAGAGUAAAAUGGUGCUAUCUUAGAAGUGACACAUAAGAUAAAUGCUGAGAUGGAGGAGAGAAAUCAUAAGAAAAGACUUGUAUUCUCUUAUUUAAAAAAUGAUCUCUUAACACAAUAUGUCUCACCAUGUUUUAGGAAUAGCUAAUUGAAGAUAAGGCUAAGAUAUAAUCCAUUAUAGAUAUAUAUUUUUUGUCAUAUUUAAAUUACAUGCAAGACUUAAAAUAAGACUGUCUUAUCAAUCAUUGUACAUGCCCUUACUUCGUCGUUCAGAAACACGGAUUGUUAAAGGUUACUAAUGAUAAAUUUUAAAUGUUUAUAAAUUUUUCUAUAAACUUGAUCAAAAUUUUCACUACUUGACAAGAUCUAUUCCAAAGUUAAUACACGAACAUGCGGCAGCUCGGCUCGUGCUACGGGCUCCCUACCGUUCGAUCUGCCACACAAAUCACGCGCAUCGUGCGCUACUGCUUGUUAACAUCAUGUGCAUGGUAACAACAUGGCGCAUUGAAUAAUCGCCACACUAGUGCGUCCAAAUUUUUUUUUUUCAAAAUCAUACAUAAGAAAGUCAUUUUCACUAACUUAUUUAUCUCAAUAUGCACGUAUACCACUUCACCACAUAAUUAUACAUGAGAUAAGGUCCAUCUAAACAUGCAAUCUUGCAUGGAAAAAGACCCACCACAACAUUCAAUCAUACAUAGAAAAAUAUUUUCCAUUCAAUUAUUCUACUUAUAUUCAAUAAAUAUUUUAUAACUAUACAUAAUCAAAUAUAAUGAGUCAUAAUUAUUUUAAAUUUUGGUCCUCAUGUUAUCAAUCCAAAUUUUCAAUAGGAAAUUCCUAGCAACGCGCGGGUAUCCUCUGGUACAAACUAUAUUUUGAGAUGGAGGAAGUGUUGCACAAUAAGUUCUCAUGAACUUCAACUAAAAAAGGUUCUGACAAACUUACUUGUUUGAGAUAUAUUUAGCAAACUGAGGGAUUUUCUGUAAAGUUAUAAUACAAGUACCCAAACUCAUGAAUUGACGGAGAUAGCUGAACUUUUUUAUGUCUUCAAGAGUUCUAGAGUAAGGACAUAAAGUGAGGUUGUUUGAUUUACAAAUUCAUUCAAAUCUGAGUACUAAAAUUGGGUGCUUGGAGCUUUGUUGUUGGCUUCUGCUUGGUGGUUCAUCUUUAUAGUAGAAAAUUGCUAGACGAUGCACAUGGUUUUUUUUUCACAAGGUUUCCACUUCAAUCUGUUGGGUCUCCCCUUGAUUUGGAGUUUCUUUUGUCAUACUUAUUGCUACUCAAGUUCUGGCUUGCUAUUGGUACAUACUCCCUACGUUCACAAAUAUAAGAUGUUUUGGAUGUUUUAAAAUGGACUACAUAUAGGCUAAAAUGAGUGAAAAAACGCACUAAGACGUGUCUAUAUACAUCCAAAUUAGGGAAAAGUUAUAACAUCAUAUUUUUAUGAACAUAUGGAGUAUUACUCAAGUGUGGUAUUCUUCAGAUGUGUUGAUGUGUGUUGACACCAGAGACAUGACAUACUUGGUUAUUAUAUUGUGCAACACUUCCUUGGAUGUGUUGAUCAUAUGUUGGUUAUGAACACCAGAGACAUGACAUACUUGGUUAUGACACCAAAGAUAUGACAUACUUGGUUAUGAACAUAUGGAGUAUUACUCAAGUAUGGUAUUCCUCAGAUGUGUUGAUGUGUUGACACCAGUGAAGGAAUAACUUGGGAGUACAUGAAGUUUUUUAUAUGCUGAUCAUUAUAUUGGGAUACUUUUAUUAAGUAGUUGUUGCAAGUGUAUUGUUAACUUGGUGCUCGUGGAUUUCAUGAUAUGCUUCUACUUUUUUACAUGGACAUAUGAAGUGUUCGCUGAAAUACUUGUGAAGAAUUAGCUUGCUAUUUUGAUCACCUUUUCCGCCCCCUUUACCCUCAGACCUGAUCAAUAACUUAUGCUUAUUUUGUACUUCAUGAACCUAUGGCCCUGUUUGGUUUGGCUGUGGAUUUCUAAAAGCAGCUGUGGAAAAACAGCUGUGAAAAAUCUGAUGUGAAAAAGAUGUAGGUCAUUUGGCAAACCAACUGAUACAACUUUUUUAGAUUUUGGUCCGCAGCGGAAUCAGAUUUUGUAAAAGCACGUCCUAGGCUGCUUCCGCUUUUGGUUCAGAUUUUUGCAGCGAAUUUCUGGAAUCGUAUUCUGCUGGAUUCGCCCUUUGAUUUAGAUUCUGCUGCGCGACAGCGGAAUCUGUCGAUAAAAGCUGAACCAAACAGAGCCUAUAUGUCUAGAUGCAAUGAUUCUCAAAUUUUUUUGUCGCAUCUAGAGAUCUGGGUUAAUUCCUUUAAAUUCUAGAGAUAUGGGUUCAUAGUAUUGUUCUUUAUGCAUAGGAAUUUGAAAAUUAGGUUCAAGUGGAUAUUAGAAUUAUGCACUUUCCUUCGAAACUGAGAUUAAAGGAAAAAUCCUCCCCUUUUCCUUUACCCCAUUCCUUUGAACCAAACACAUGAAUAGUGUCACCCUAAAACAUAAUCCCAUUCACAUGUUAUUCCUUCACUUUUUCUUUAACCAAAGAAACCAUAAGAUCCUUAGUGGCACAAUAAAAUCUAGCUAUACAUUUUUCAUGUGGUUUGAUUUUGAUUUGACUGUCUUUAUUAAGAUUUUUUGUGUUUUUUUAAUUUACUAUGUGAAUCAAACACCCAAGUUAACACAAAUCAUGUGUUAUCCUAUCCUCUAUUAAUUCCUAUCCUAUUAAUGUAUUUUAUUUCUAUUUCCUUUUUUUUAAUGCAGUCAUUUCGAUUGUUUGAGAUAGCCCAUGACGCCAAGAUGAUAAUGACGAAGAAUUGCUGCUUGAGCCGGUCUCAAUGAGGGUCAAAGGUGUUGGUCAAAUAUCUGAAUGGAGGACCAAGACUAAUAUUUCAAAGUAACCCAAAUUGUUACUCUGAAAUAUAUGAAGCCAUGGAGGAAAAAAGGCAGCGAUCGUGCGGUGGUCAAUGGAGCUGCUUGAGAUUGAAGGCAUAUGCCAGACCACCUUUUGCACCAUUUUAUCAGUAGCGCGUCUUCAGCUUAGUGUACAAAAAAAUCGUCUUCAGCUCAGUGUUGUACAGAAGAAAUUCAAAUAUGUACAUCCUGGAUGCUGGUAAAUUCUACUAGUAUGCUAUUCAAAACAUCGAAAUCACUAAUUAAUGAGUAUUUGUUGCAAAGAACA